UCGCUGGGCGUCGUACGCCUGCGCGGACAUCGCGGGGCUGGUAGAGUCGCUGUGACGGGCCUAAACGGGGAUUGGAGCUGGUUGCAUUCCUUGUAGGCUUUUCUGGCAGCUCCCUGGCCGGAGCUGCGGCCCUCAGCGCCCAGCUUCGUAGCCUCAGCUGCCUUCCAUCCGGGCGGCUUCUGAGGACCGGCCACACCUCGGACGGUCGUGGUGGAGCUCGAUUGAGGUGUCAGUAGCAGCUCCAGCUACAUCCCUAAGAUAUGUUUGUUGACAUCGGAUCACGGGGUUCCUUAUACUGGACUCAAGAGAAAAAGCACUUACUAUCUAAGCCAGGGGGAUUCCAGUCAACUGGGUAUAGCCAGGAUAACAGUCGCAGUGGUAAGCCGCGGCCCCGUCAUCCACACAGAUGUGCUGGCACCCGUGAGAGCCCAGCGCACACUUGUUACGAACUGAGCGGGAGUGGAGCAGGAAAGAGAAUGUUCACAAAUGAC